GAUGAACGCUGGCGGCGUGCCUAAUACAUGCAAGUCGAGCGAACAGACGAGGAGCUUGCUCCUCUGAUGUUAGCGGCGGACGGGUGAGUAACACGUGGAUAACCUACCUAUAAGACUGGGAUAACUUCGGGAAACCGGAGCUAAUACCGGAUAACAUGUUGAACCGCAUGGUUCAACAGUGAAAGACGGUCUUGCUGUCACUUAUAGAUGGAUCCGCGCCGCAUUAGCUAGUUGGUAAGGUAACGGCUUACCAAGGCAACGAUGCGUAGCCGACCUGAGAGGGUGAUCGGCCACACUGGAACUGAGACACGGUCCAGACUCCUACGGGAGGCAGCAGUAGGGAAUAUUCCGCAAUGGGCGAAAGCCUGACGGAGCAACGCCGCGUGAGUGAAGAAGGUCUUCGGAUCGUAAAACUCUGUUAUUAGGGAAGAACAAAUGUGUAAGUAACUAUGCACGUCUUGACGGUACCUAAUCAGAAAGCCACGGCUAACUACGUG
rnacentral:rRNA from 1 species